rnacentral:lncRNA from 1 species
CCUAAGGUGUUAGCAUCUCCCAUAUUUAUGAUUAUAUUUACAUCACAAGGAAAUUUUUUUAUAUGCGUGUAUACGAAAAUUAUAAAACUAGCUUUAAAACUUUGAGUGUUUAAAUUAAUAUGUUUUCCUCACUCUCAAUCCCUUUUACAAUGAUCCACUCAUGGUUCCUCACCAAUAAUGAGGAGGUUCUUAGGAUCGCCAGUGUCUAUUUUGGAUCGGUAUAUAUGGAAAGUUUUCGGAAAGUGAAGUGUAUCAACGCGUAUUAUACAAGCAUGGUACGUGUCAUGUUCCACUGGGUCUAGCGAGUGUGUUUAUCAACCUGUUGUCUCAAGAAGAAUGCAGAAAAAGGUUAUGCUUGAAUAUUAGAUGUAUUAAGAAAUCAUUCUUAAUAGGCUUUAAACCGGGCAUCUCUAUUCUGAGGCCCACCUGAUUGCUGCACAUUGGAAAAUUUUAUAUAGCCCUACAACUUACUCAAGGGAUACAAAAUGAUGAUAAUAAAAUCUAGAAUUUAUUUUUUUACGAUAACA